AACGAACGCUGGCGGCGUGGAUAAGACAUGCAAGUCGAACGGGAGAAUUGCUAGCUUGCUAAUAAUUCUCUAGUGGCGCACGGGUGAGUAACACGUGAGUAACCUGCCCCCGAGAGCGGGAUAGCCCUGGGAAACUGGGAUUAAUACCGCAUAGUAUCGAAAGAUUAAAGCAGCAAUGCGCUUGGGGAUGGGCUCGCGGCCUAUUAGUUAGUUGGUGAGGUAACGGCUCACCAAGGCGAUGACGGGUAGCCGGUCUGAGAGGAUGUCCGGCCACACUGGAACUGAGACACGGUCCAGACACCUACGGGUGGCAGCAGUCGAGAAUCAUUCACAAUGGGGGAAACCCUGAUGGUGCGACGCCGCGUGGGGGAAUGAAGGUCUUCGGAUUGUAAACCCCUGUCAUGUGGGAGCAAAUUAAAAAGAUAGUACCACAAGAGGAAGAGACGGCUAACUCUGUGCCAGCAGCCGCGGUAAUACAGAGGUCUCAAGCGUUGUUCGGAAUCACUGGGCGUAAAGCGUGCGUAGGCUGUUUCGUAAGUCGUGUGUGAAAGGCGCGGGCUCAACCCGCGGACGGCACAUGAUACUGCGAGACUAGAGUAAUGGAGGGGGAACCGGAAUUCUCGGUGUAGCAGUGAAAUGCGUAGAUAUCGAGAGGAACACUCGUGGCGAAGGCGGGUUCCUGGACAUUAACUGACGCUGAGGCACGAAGGCCAGGGGAGCGAAAGGGAUUAGAUACCCCUGUAGUCCUGGCAGUAAACGGUGCACGCUUGGUGUGCGGGGAAUCGACCCCCUGCGUGCCGGAGCUAACGCGUUAAGCGUGCCGCCUGGGGAGUACGGUCGCAAGAUUAAAACUCAAAGAAAUUGACGGGGACCCGCACAAGCGGUGGAGUAUGUGGCUUAAUUCGAUGCAACGCGAAGAACCUUACCUGGGCUUGACAUGUAAUGAACAACAUGUGAAAGCAUGCGACUCUUCGGAGGCGUUACACAGGUGCUGCAUGGCCGUCGUCAGCUCGUGUCGUGAGAUGUUUGGUUAAGUCCAGCAACGAGCGCAACCCCUGUUGCCAGUUACCAGCACGUGAAGGUGGGGACUCUGGCGAGACUGCCCAGAUCAACUGGGAGGAAGGUGGGGACGACGUCAGGUCAGUAUGGCCCUUAUGCCCAGGGCUGCACACGUACUACAAUGCCCAGUACAGAGGGGGCCGAAGCCGCGAGGCGGAGGAAAUCCUAAAAACUGGGCCCAGUUCGGACUGUAGGCUGCAACCCGCCUACACGAAGCCGGAAUCGCUAGUAAUGGCGCAUCAGCUACGGCGCCGUGAAUACGUUCCCGGGUCUUGUACACACCGCCCGUCACAUCAUGGAAGCCGGUCGCACCCGAAGUAUCUGAAGCCAACCGCAAGGAGGCAGGGUCCUAAGGUGAGACUGGUAACUGGGAUG
rnacentral:rRNA from 1 species